rnacentral:rRNA from 1 species
UACGAAGGGGGCUAGCGUUGCUCGGAAUUACUGGGCGUAAAGCGCACGUAGGCGGUCUUUUAAGUCGGGGGUGAAAUCCUGGAGCUCAACUCCAGAACUGCCUUCGAUACUGGAAGACUUGAGUCCGGGAGAGGUGAGUGGAACUGCGAGUGUAGAGGUGAAAUUCGUAGAUAUUGGGAGGAACACCAGUGGCGAAGGCGGCUCACUGGACCGGUUCUGACGCUGAAGCGCGAAAGCGUGGGGAGCAAACGGG